CACUGAAAAUAAGAAGAACGAAGUUGAAGAAGUAAAGGAAGAGGGUCCAAAAGAGAUGACUUUGGAUGAAUGGAAGGCAAUUCAGAAUAAGGGCCGUGCAAAAGUAGAAUUUAAUAUUCGAAAACCAAUUGAAGGUGCUCAUGGGCAGUGGAAGAAGGGAUUUGUUCUUCAUAAGUCAAAGAGUGAAGAGGCUCAUGCUGAAGAUUCGGUUAUGGACCAUCAUUUCUGGAAGCCAGCCAAUGAUAUAACAUCUCAGCUGGAGAUCAAUUUUGGAGACUUUGGCCGCCCAGGACGUGGUGGCAGGGGAGGAAGAGGAGGCCGUCAUCGCCAUGGGCGUCCAAAUCGUGGUAGCAGAACUGACAAGUCAAAUACAUCUGCUCCUGAUGUAGAUGACCCAGAGGCAUUCCCAACUCUGGCUUAACUGGAUUGCCAUAAAGACAACCCUGGUUCCUUUGUGGACCCUCCUGUCUGAGGUUUUGCAUGCUUAAGGAUCCCAAACGACUAAGAAAUUAAAAAAAAAAGACUGUCAUUCAUACCAUUCACACCUAAAGACUGAAUUUUAUCUGUUUUGAAAAUGAACUUCUCUCGCUACACAGCAGUAACAAUAUGGUGGUCAGUUUUGUAUUUAGAAAUGUAUUGGUAGCAGGGAUGUUUUCAUAAUUUUCAGAGAUUAUGCAUUCUUCAUGAAAAGUUUUGUAUUGCUGCUUGCAAAUAUGCAUUUCCAAACUUGAAAUAUAGGUGUGAACAAUGUGUACCAGUUUAAAGCUUUCACUUCAUUUGUGUUUUUUAAUUAAGGAUUUAGGUGUUCUCCCAAUUACAAACUGGUUUUAAAUAUUGGACAUAGUAUCAGUUUUAAUACCUGCUUUGCAUUUUCACACAUGGUCAAUGGGACAUGUAAACUUUGAUUUGUCAAAUUUUAUGCUGUGUGAAAUACUAACUGUAUUUUAACUUAGUUUUAAUAUUUUCAUUUCUGGGGAAAAUCUUUUUCACUUCUCAUGAUAGCUGUUAUAUAUGCUAAAUCUUUAUAUACAGAAAUUAUUAGUAUUUGAACAAAUUCAAAGCACAUUGGUUUAUUAACCCUUGCUCUUCCUGCAUGGUUCAUUAGACUCAAAUUAUAAUUGAUCCACAAUUUCAACUAUAUAUAUAUAUAUAUGUAUAUAGUAAGUGAUUUUACCAUUUUAAACUCCAAACUGAUACCUUACUGGUGAAAGUUGUUUAAGUUACUUACUGUUUGUAGAUAACAUCCUGUGAGGUGAUUUAAUUUUACUGGUGUUGGGUUUUCCCCCUCUGACAGGGUAGGUGCCACACAUUGAUCUGGCUAAUGUGUAAACUGUAAAGUGUCUGGCCACUUCAGUAUGAUUUAUGUGUGUGUAAAAGGUCCUAAAUCAAAAAUGUGCAUCCAUAACCAACAACCCUUUACCAUUCCUUGUUCUAAAGAAACCAAAGGGCACUGGUUAAUAUGGUGAUAAUGGGGUGUAUUUUAGUUUUGGGAAUUUGGAAAGCAGACAGCUUUACUUUAUAAGGUUAGAACAACAGCACCAUCCAUGAAAUAUAAGCCAAAAAUCUUA